ACACUGCUGAGGAGCCCCACAAUAGGACGAAACGUCCGUCCAGUGU
rnacentral:hammerhead_ribozyme from 1 species